UCAGACUUUGUAUCACAAAUAACUAAUUAUGUAUGACUCAAUUUAUUUCAAUAUCAGAAUCAUAUGCACUUUUCAAAAGAAAAAGAAGAUUCAAUAGUUCCUUUUAUGAAUCUAGGCACAAGUAUAGAUUAAAGAAAGUACAUAUAUAACUUAGGGAAAUGAGGUACAUGUUUGGUAGCGUUACAAUUAUUUCUAUAUAUGUAUAUGAAGACACAUUUAGGAGAAUUUCUCGAACCUUCAAAAAGUAACUGGAACAAACAUUAUUGGUAAAUACUUAUCGGCAUCGGAUAUUACAAACUGCAUAUCUAAGAUAUAUAUCUUAUAUCCAUUUGCUUGGUGUAAACACUCAAUGCAAGUAAGUUCUUACUAAUAUUAAUAUUGCUGUUGGCUUCUCUAUUUUUUACCAUUGUUAGAUUUCUUGCCAAGGCUCUUGACCCAUUUGAGAAAUUUGUUUUUGGAAGCAUCUCUGCAUUUCUUCUUUUCAUCUUCAUUGGGAGGAGGAGGAGAUUCUGGAUCCCAUUGAUCAGCCCAAGAGAGCCCCUCGGAUCGAAAAACUUCCAUUUUUUCCUUCUAUUUUCUUCCCUAUUUUACCUCUUUUGCAUUUUCAAAGACUCAAAAAGAGACAAAGAAGACUUAUUUGUGGGGAAAAGAUUCAAUGGUUACUUUUGAUUCUUUUUUAAAGGAUUGGUUUCUAAUUAGUUGGUUUGUUAUUCAAUGAAAAUUGUGAUACUUGUGAAUCAUUGAGUUUUAGUCUCCUUUGAAUACAAGGUACGUAUAUAUGGUUUACAU
rnacentral:lncRNA from 1 species